AUAAGCCAUCAUUAUUAACACAAACUCCACCAUAAAGUAAAACUGCAAGUUCUGAGAACUUAACUAUGAUCUUUGAAAUCUGGCCUCCAGGUUAAUGUACGAUACUUACUCAGAAAAAUACUCUGAUAGAAAAGACUUAAGAUUAGACCAAUUUAAAGAGAAAGACUAAGGAAAGGUGCCAAGUUGUUUCAGGACUUUAAGAAGAAGAGUAAGACUUGUUAGUAAACUUAUUCUCAUUUGGUCCUAAAUGAAAGACAAAUGGAAUAAAACUAACAUUUAGAUCAAGUAAACAAUAAUGAUAAAAGGUUAGGACAUCCUUGAUUAGUUACUUUUAUCUUUUGAAUGUCCAGAUGUCUGGUAGAAACCAUGAAAUCACAAAAGCAACAAAGUCAUGUAAAUUUAUUUCCUCAGGGACUUAAACUUUCCGCUCCUUAUUCUUCAUUUAUAAAGUGAGAAGGCUGAAGAGGUUACUCUUUAAGCCUUCCCUCUAUCCUCGUGGUCUGUGAUUAUAAUCUGAAGUGAGGAAGGCCCUGGGACGCCGGCCAGCGUCUGUGAACCACCACUGUCUAGAAAUGUCGGUAAGCGCUGAACCCAAGGAUACACCGCCGAGGCAAACGCGGAAGAAUCACCAUCUGAAGCUACAAGUAGAUGAACUAUCCAAGGAAGAACAUAAAUUCAGUGAGUACAAUUCACAUUUAUGAGGCAACUAUUUUAGGAUGUGGGUAACAGGGCUUCUGCAUGUAGGAGAGGGAAGUGGUUAGCAAGAAGACUGAUGAAGGUCCUAUUGUGCAAA